rnacentral:rRNA from 1 species
GAUCAUGCUCAGGAUGAACGCUAGCGGCAGGCCUAACACAUGCAAGUCGAGGGGCAGCACGGUGUAGCAAUACACUGGUGGCGACCGGCGCACGGGUGCGUAACGCGUAUGCAACCUACCCAUAACAGGGGGAUAACACUGAGGAAUUGGUACUAAUACCCCAUAACAUCAGGACCGGCAUCGGUUCUAGUUGAAAACUCCGGUGGUUAUGGAUGGGCAUGCGUUGUAUUAGCUGGUUGGUG